GGAGCGGCGGUGCCGGCGCAGGGUGGUUCAAGAAUGGGCACAGGAUGAAGGAAUCUGGUGGAUCUUUCACACUCCAUACUACCCCCAGGCAAACGAGGUUGUUGAAUGCACCACUGGACUCUUGAAGAGGAACCUGAAACCUCAUGAACCUGAAUGGGCAAGAGGGUGUCAGAUGGGAUUAUCUGAAAUCCACUGCUGGACCUAUGCUUUCAACUGUUGAGUGGACGGAUCAUUUUGUGUAUUUUUUAGUUUGAUUCUGCUAAGCAUAUUUUGCCUUUUCACUAGCAAAAAAAAUGGUGUGGGAAAAGUUUUUACUCUUAUGUUAUGGAUGUAUGACUUUGUCUCAAGCAACCGAAAAUCAGAGUACUGAACCAAAUUUAGCUUGGGAGU